UGGGGAAUAUUGGACAAUGGGGGAAACCCUGAUCCAGCCAUGCCGCGUGCGUGAAGAAGGCCUUAGGGUUGUAAAGCGCUUUCGGCGGGGAAGAUGAUGACGGUACCCGCAGAAGAAGCCCCGGCUAACUCCGUGCCAGCAGCCGCGGUAAUACGGAGGGGGCUAGCGUUGUUCGGAAUUACUGGGCGUAAAGGGCGCGUAGGCGGGCGAUCAAGUCAGACGUGAAAUCCCUCGGCUUAACCGGGGAACUGCGUCUGAUACUGGAUGGCUUGAGGUUGGGAGAGGGAUGCGGAAUUCCAGGUGUAGCGGUGAAAUGCGUAGAUAUCUGGAGGAACACCGGUGGCGAAGGCGACAUCCUGGACCAAUUCUGACGCUGAGGAGCGAAAGCCAGGGGAGCAAACGGGAUUAGAUACCCCAGUAGUCCCUGAGCGGGCUGGCAAGGCGCAU
rnacentral:rRNA from 1 species